ensembl:snRNA U6 U6 spliceosomal RNA
GUGCUCACUUUGCCAGCACGUAGACUAAAAUAGGAACAAUGCAGAGAUUAGCAUGGCCCCUGUGCAAGGAUAACAAGCAAAUUUGUGAAGCGUUACAAAUAAAAUUUUUUU